AUUGAACGCUGGCGGAAUGCUUUACACAUGCAAGUCGAACGGCAGCACGGACUUCGGUCUGGUGGCGAGUGGCGAACGGGUGAGUAAUGUAUCGGAACGUGCCCAGUCGUGGGGGAUAACGUAGUGAGAAUUACGCUAAUACCGCAUACGAUCUAUGGAUGAAAGCGGGGGAUCGCAAGACCUCGCGCGAUUGGAGCGGCAGAUAUCAGAUUAGGUAGUUGGUGGGGUAAAGGCCCACCAAGCCAACGAUCUGUAGCUGGUCUGAGAGGACGACCCGCAACACUGGAACUGACACACGGUCCAGACUCGGACGGGAGGCAGCAGUGAGGAAUUUUGGACAAUGGGCGAAAGCCUGAUCCAGCCAUUCCGCGUGCAGGAUGAAGGCCCUCGGGUUGUAAACUGCUUUUGUACAGAACGAAAAGGUUUCUACUAAUACUAGGAGCUCAUGACGGUACUGUAAGAAUAAGCACCGGCUAACUACGUGCCAGCCGCCGCCGUAA
rnacentral:rRNA from 1 species